rnacentral:rRNA from 1 species
UGGGGAAUAUUGCACAAUGGGCGCAAGCCUGAUGCAGCCAUGCCGCGUGUGUGAAGAAGGCCUUCGGGUUGUAAAGCACUUUCAGCGGGGAGGAAGGCGGUGAGGUUAAUAACCUCAUCGAUUGACGCUACCCGCAGAAGAAGCACCGGCUAACUCCGUGCCAGCAGCCGCGGUAAUACGGAGGGUGCAAGCGUUAAUCGGAAUUACUGGGCGUAAAGCGCACGCAGGCGGUCUGUAAAGUCGGAUGUGAAAUCCCCGGGCUCAACCUGGGAAGUGCAUUCGAAACUAGCAGGCUAGAGUCUUGUAGAGGGGGGUAGAAUUCCAGGUGUAGCGGUGAAAUGCGUAGAGAUCUGGAGGAAUACCGGUGGCGAAGGCGGCCCCCUGGGCAAAGACUGACGCUCAGGUGCGAAAGCGAGGGGAGCAAACAGG